UCAGACGAUGCGUCACGCAUAUCAAUAAGCGGAGGAAAAGAAACUAACUAGGAUUCCCCUAGUAACGGCGAGUGAAGCGGGAAGAGCUCAAAUUUGAAAUCUUAAAGGGUUUCCCUUUACGAAUUGUAGUUUAAAGAAGUGUUUUCUGUUGAGGUUUUGGUAAAAGUUCUUUGGAAUAGGACAUCAUAGAGGGUGAGAAUCCCGUAUUUGACCUUUACUUUCAACUUUGUGAUACACUUUCAAAGAGUCGGAUUGUUUGGGAAUGCAGUCCUAAAUGGGUGGUAAAUUUCAUCUAAAGCUAAAUAUUGGCGAGAGACCGAUAGCGAACAAGUACCGUGAGGGAAAGAUGAAAAGAACUUUGAAAAGAGAGUUAAACAGUACGUGAAAUUGUCAAAAGGGAAGCGUUUGACACCAGUGUUGUUUUUCUGAAAAUCAAUUAAAGAACUGUUUAUGCUAAGUUGUUUAGACUUUAUCAGCUAACUGUUUAGUUUUGAGCUUUUCUUUAAUGCACUUUUCAGUUAACAAGUCAUCAUCAAUUUCUUUUGCUGUAAAAAAGCUUGAGGAAAGUGGCUUGAGAUUCGUCUUAAGUGUUUAUAGCCUCUUGCCUAUGCAGUCGGAGAGAUUGAGGUCUGCAGCGUAGAUCCUUCGGGGCUAAAUGCAUUUGUGCUAAGUUAUAGCAUUUUAUAGACAACUUGUUGACUAUGAUUUGUCUUGUAGCUUACUCGCUUAUGUUAUUUUACCUACGCUUAGGAUGUUGAAUCUGUGCGAGACUAC
rnacentral:rRNA from 1 species